AUGGCGGAUCCAGUCACCAUUGGUGCUGCUGUAGGAUGGGGCGUAUCCGCAGUAGGCUGGCUUGCCUCGCCCAUCAUUUCAAGGGUCCUCAACAAAGGUUUCGCCCACCUUGAUUUUGAUGCAACGGAGAAGCUGAAGAUACUUGAUUUGCAAGUUUUACAACUGCAGCGGGUGAUGGAUGUAGUCGACGAAAGCACUUACAAGGGUCGCUUGGAGACACUAUUAGACAAGCUUAAAUCUGCUCUCUAUGAAUCUGAAGACAUCUUGGAUGAUGUUGAGUAUCAGCGUCUCCACAAGCAGAUCCGAGAUAGCAAGUCAGCUAGCAGCAUGCCCCCACGCAAGAUGGAUUGGCUGAAGAAGAAUCUUAGGUCCGCCAUGCCGAGCUCCCCACUAAAAGAUAAGGACAGUGGAUUGCCAAAAUUGCAGUUGGAGAAGAGUCUAACGAAGAUAGAAACUGCUUUAAGUGGUGCAUGUAAAGUUUUGGAACAACUGAACCUGUCAGGUUUAAGUAAUGACAAUGGGAGACAAGCUGUUGCUACAAAUUCACGCCAUGCAGUCACUACUGCAGGUCCUCCGGCACGAGUAAUUGGUCGGGAUCAGGAUCGUGACAAGAUCAUAGCAAUGCUUCAUGAGAAGGAAGACCAGUGUCAAUUAAACACCGUCAGUGGUAUAUGUUAUUCUGUAAUUGGCAUUCAUGGCGUUGCGGGGUCUGGGAAAUCAACACUUGCACAGUUUACUUAUGAUCAUGAGAAAAAGUGCAAGGAAGAGAAAAUGGAAGGCCAUUUCGAUAUUGUCAUGUGGAUUCAUGUUUCUCAGACAUUCGAUUUGGAUUCCAUUUUCAGGGAGAUGUUUGAGGGGGCUACAGGAAAAGCAUGUCCGAAAUUCAAUAGUCUUAAUGUCUUAAAAGAAAAACUGGAGGAGGAACUGCGUGGGAAACGGACUUUGUUGGUACUGGAUGAUGUCUGGUACAACAUCAGGAAUUCGGGACACCGUGAAGAGCUACAGCAAUUAAUUUCUCCUCUGAAUGUUGGAAAGGUGGGAAGCAAAAUCUUGGUGACUAGUCGAACAGAAGCCGCAUUAGUAAGUCUGGGUGCUGUAAAAGAGCGAUGCAUUCCAAUAUCUGACUUGCAUGAUAAAGUGUUCCUUGAAAUGUUCAUGCAUUAUGCACUUACAGAUGCAAGGGUGAGUGAACAUGAUCGAAGAAUACUUGAAAUGAUCGGAGAGGACAUUGCCAAAAAGCUGAAGGGAUCACCUCUAGCAGCCAGGACAGUGGGAUCACGGCUCCGUGAGACACAAACUGUUGAGUUCUGGAGGAGUCAGAAAGAUCGGGACCUUUUGAAUGACACAAUGGGAGCUCUGUGGUGGAGCUACCAAUAUCUUGAUGAGCAGGUCAGGCGAUGCUUCGCUUACUGCAGUAUUUUCCCCAGGCGACAUCGUUUGAAACGUGAUGAGUUAGUUAAGUUGUGGGUAGCAGAAGGGUUUAUAAAGACUAGCAACGCUGAAGAGGAAAUGGAAGACGUUGCUAAGAAUUAUUUUGAUGAAUUGCUGUCGGCCUCAUUUCUGCAAUUUGGAGGGAAAGAAAAGUUAUAUUCUGAACCUAAGGUUGAUUACUUUACAAUUCACGAUCUUCUGUGUGAUUUAGCAGAGGAGGUUGCUGGAAGAGAUUUCUUCAGGAUCGAGAAAGGCUUCACAGGAGAAGUUCCUCCAGAUGUUCGCUAUCUUUUUGUUGGGACUUACAAUAGAGAGAUGCUUACCGAGAAGAUAUGUGGGUUGCAAAAUUUACGCACCCUCAUCAUCGAUGACACGAUAGAAGUUAGAUCAUCAGACGGAGUGCAAAGUCUUUGCGAGUACGUUCGCUAUGCUCACAGGGCUGCCAAAAUUGCGGGUACUGAAAUUAUGUGUUGA
rnacentral:rRNA from 1 species